GAUGAACGCUGACAGAAUGCUUAACACAUGCAAGUCAACUUGAACUUCGGUUUGGGUGGCGGACGGGUGAGUAACGCGUAAAGAACUUGCCUCACAGCUAGGGACAACAUUUGGAAACGAAUGCUAAUACCUGAUAUUAUGAUUUUAGGGCAUCCUAGAAUUAUGAAAGCUAUAUGCGCUGUGAGAGAGCUUUGCGUCCCAUUAGCUAGUUGGAGAGGUAACGGCUCACCAAGGCGAUGAUGGGUAGCCGGCCGGAGAGGGUGAACGGCCACAAGGGGACUGAGACACGGCCCUUACUCCUACGGGAGGCAGCAGUGGGGAAUAUUGGACAAUGGACCAAGAGUCUGAUCCAGCAAUUCUGUGUGCACGAUGAAGUUUUUCGGAAUGUAAAGUGCUUUCAGUUGGGAAGAAAAAAAUGACGGUACCAACAGAAGAAGUGACGGCUAAAUACGUG
rnacentral:rRNA from 1 species